rnacentral:rRNA from 1 species
GCCUACGGGACGCAGCAGUGAGGAAUAUUGGUCAAUGGGCUUACGCCUGAACCAGCCAAGUCGCGUGAGGGAAGACUGCCCUAUGGGUUGUAAACCUCUUUUGUCAGGGAGCAAUUGGCGCUACGUGUAGCGUUAUCGAGAGUACCUGAAGAAAAAGCAUCGGCUAACUCCGUGCCAGCAGCCGCGGUAAUACGGAGGAUGCGAGCGUUAUCCGGAUUUAUUGGGUUUAAAGGGUGCGUAGACGGGAAAACAAGUUAGUUGUGAAAUCCCUCGGCUUAACUGAGGAACUGCAACUAAAACUAUUU